UGAGAGCGGGCAUGGAUGCGCACGCUUGGCCAGCCCGUGUCGCGCGUUAGAUUUUGUGUUCCUAAAGCAGCCUUUGGUUUGUAUGAAUUGCUCAUAGAAAUUCCAAAGGAAACUAUUAUUGACCUUCAAUUCCAUAGAAAAACUAUAUGAAAAAGUAAUCCACUUAGACCUCAUGGAAAAGUUCCUAUGCACAAGGAACAAGGCAAACAAUGCAACUCGUGUCUAAUCAUGUGUAACAUCCCAAAAAUUCACAUUCAAAAAUCACUCGCAUUAAAAAUUAUUUUCAAAAUAUAUUUCAAAAACUAUAAAAUAAUUUGAGCUCUAUAGUAUCUCCAUCUAAUCCAUCCAUAUUUUUUCGCGCACAAAUAACAGCGAGUACCAGUAAGCUUACAUGCAAGAAAACAUAGCAGUGCACACACACGAAUAUAUCUCAUGCAUGCAUACAUGAAUGCAGGACAUCACGCACCGUCCAUUUGCAUGCACCUGCAUGCAAGGACACGGUGAUUAGGCACCGUCCAUUUGCAUGCAUCGUGCAUGCAAAUUAGGCACCGACCAUGCGCUACAGUAGCAUUUUUAAUGGCACGCAGCUGAGCGCUUUGGCCUAUAAAAAACCAGCCUCGGGUGCUCACUCUCACCACCCGAGAAACACGUUCACUCACUCGCUCUCACUUUGCGUAUACCGUAUACGGCCAUACGCACAAGCCGAGCUCGACUGUCGUCACAAGAUGAGGUGAGCAGCUCAUGAACAUCUCCUUGCUCUUCUCUGUCUUUCUGUAGUAUUUUUCUGUAUUUUUUCUUGUAUUUGUCUGUACCGAUUCACUGCCAAGAACUCCACGAAUAAAACCAUGACAUACAGAAGAGCUCUAAUGACCCCUCCUAAUUUCUCUCUAACCAUGCAUGUGUGGGCCAUAAGCAUUAACUUCACCAAAUAGUACAUGCAUGCAUGCACUACCAGCCAAACAAAUGCCCACGUGAAGCAUCCAUUCCUUAAUCAUCGUUAGCCUUUUUCGUAUGAUUAAAUUCCGGCUAUUUCACAAAUACCACAUGCUAACUCUGAUUUUAAUAAUUCUUUUUCCUAAAUUUAUCUAAAAUCAUGAUCUACCUUCCAUAUUAAUUUCAUGAUUUUUGGAGGUCAUUUGAAUUUAUAUGAUUAUUUAUCUGUGCCUGUUGUCUGUGUCGGUCGUCGCGUAUUUUAGCUGACGAAGUGAACGAGCCCAAAAACGAGAACGUUAGAGACGAGUACCGCGAGUUUGACGCCGAGGACCCAGACUGUCAGCAAGAGUUUGCUGAGGACGCCGACGGAGGCAAGUCCAACCGAUCCCCUUUGAUGCAUAUUGAUCCUAUUUUAAAAUACAACCCGUAGAAGCCGUUUUAAAUAUUGCAUGUACGAUAUAUAUACGAAGUAUUUUUGCUGCUUAGUUAAAAUCUGUUGAAUAGCCAUCCUUGAAUUGAUAUUACCCGGUAAUUGUCUUGUUCGAACCUAGGAACAAAUAAUAUGCUAUGACAGAAAUAUUAUUAUUUAGUAUGCUUAGGACUUGUUACUCAUCCUGGAUACUCAUCGCUAUAUUUUCUCAAAUAUAAUGAUUUUAAAAGUAAAAGGUGUGAGUGGUGAAAAUAUAUUGUGGGUAUUAUGAAAGGGUUAAUGAACAAGUUAUAGAUGUGAUUACUAUGGAGAUGGGGCGGAUGGGAUCUCUUUGGGGAUGCCCUGGUGUUGUGGCUUAUACCUUGCAGGGUUAAGCGUGAAGAUAUCCGCCUUGUCUCGAUUAAGGACUGAGUUGAUGAUUCAUCUUGCCUAACUCAUUUAUCGUACAACCACUCGCCUUGCAUGGGAAAGGCUUAGUCUAAAUCCCUCUAGUUAGUAUGGCAAUCACCUGGAGGCAGGUGUGCAACGGGACACUAAGUGAUGUAUGUGAAAUUGUGAAAAUAUAUGAAAAGAGCUUUGUGAAUUAUUGUGGUAUCAUGAGAUGUGGCCUUAGUGUUCCCGUGGUGAGCGCCAUUACUUAGCUAUGGAGGGUAAUGACUUUGAUGGAUCUGUGAUUGCACGACGGUGUAAGUUAUGGUAUCCUACUUGUAGGAAAAGUGUACAACCUCUGCAGAGUGUAAAUCUAUCUAGAUAGCCGUGUCCGCGGUCUCGGACGGGUUAUGGUUUGGUUUCAACAACUAGAUUGGUUGGUAUGAGUGAAAGCAUGUGAGAGAGUGUGAUUUUGGAAAUAAAUGGUUGACUGCCAUUGUGUUGUGGGAACAAGGGUUCAACAACACUUAAAAUUGUGAUCAAACCCCCAUUUUCAGAAAUACUAUCAUAUGUGGAAGAAGAGUUCUUUUACAACAGUAUUUGUGAAUUAAAACCUUGCAUGUGUAAAAAGAUAGCUUUAUGCAAAUAAAACUAAGCCUCAUCCUUGAUUUAUCCAUAUGCAUAUAUAUUGUUACCCCUUCCGUAGGGUAAGGUUGGAUUUGCUGAGUACUUUGUACUCACCCUUGCUUUAUUAAACAGAGGAAGAUCCGGACUUCGAUCCCGAAGUGGCGUUCGAGUAAGGUCGUGUCUGCACCCAACUAAGCCUGUGGCAUUGGGACUCGUCAGAUGUUCGAUUGUGAUAUCGUUUGUUUCUGGGUCCUUUGGACCUAUGUUGUAUUUUGGUGUCUUAUAUGUUGUAUUUUGGUGUCUUAUUAUUAUAGCGUGCCUUCCUUGUCCACGCUUACCGAGACUUCUGCGCUGAAACUUAUCUGAUGUAAUAAAUGUGUUACUAGCCUCCUGGGACUAGUAUUGUAUCACAUUUGAGUUCCUGGUUUACCAGGGGCGCUUCAGGUGGUAUCAAAGCCGUAGUUGGCUGUAGGACGCGACCUUAGGCUUUUCUGGACUAGUAUUUUACUAAAUAAACGUAUUUUACAAAAGUUCUUACCCUCUCCCCUCUAUUGAAAAAAAAAUAUUUACUCUCAUCUAUGUCUCCCAGAUGGCAGAUGGAGUUUGGACCAGCAGUUACUGUCUAAGUGUAGAAGGCUUUCCCAAGCUCUUGUAUGCUACCAUGCAGAAACUUGGAAUCAAGGAUCGCCCAGAAUAUGAAGGCAGAGAAUAUGAAGAGCAUGAGACCAAGCGGUGUGAAGUUACCGUCUAUAUUGGGAAAAGUGAGGACUUCCCUAACAUAGCUGAAGCUUGGAGUAUGACUGCGACCGGAUUUCGGUUUGCAGAUACAUAUCAAGCCGUCGCUCGCAAAGCCUUGAGGUACCUAUGCCAGAUCUACGAGAAGCCCAUCACCCGUACACCCAUGAGGUUCUUUCCACCCGACGAAAAAGACCGACCAGUUUGGAGGACCCGCAUGGAGCUCUUGCAAGGACGUUACUCACUUGAAGAUGACCCAACUGUGGUAUUCAUGACCACAUACCUUCUUGCUCUAGAUAAGCAAUAUGAUGAGCAGGCCUCAGAGUUAAGGAAGUGCAUCCAUCGUGCAGAGGAAGCCGAGAUCAUAGUUAGAAAGCUCCAUGUGCAGCUUGCGGAAGCUCAGACCCAAGCAGCUGCAGCCGAGAGUCGUGAAACUACCAUUGCUGAAGUCUUGAAGGCAGCUGAAGACCGCCAUGCUCAGGAGUUGAAGGAUGCCUACCUUAUCACCAGGAUCAAAAGAAGGAUGUUAGCAGAGGAAGACCAAGAGCCCAUAGUCCUAAAAGGUAUCCCAAUCAUGUCCCUAAAAACCAAAAGAAAGAUGGGCAUAGAAGGGCCAUGAGCUCCCCCACCCACAGAAGCCUCUCAUGAAGCUUUAGAGUUGGAGUCCACUAAGGAAGAAGGAUUUCCCCUCCUCACCCAGGCAGCACCAAAAGAAGACAGUGACCCACCUCUUAGUCUAAAAGAAGAACCACAAAUGCCAGAAGCGUGAUCCUCCUCAACACCAAGGGAAUGAAGCUGUUCUGUCCGAAGAAGUUGAAGAAUAGUAGCACCUAGUUCCUCCUUAUGGCUUGGGGAAGUGAAGUUUACUUCACUUUUGUUCAACCCCCAAAGUAGAUGAACCGUAUUGUAGUACGCUUAUUUCCUCCAUUACUAUGUUGUAAACCGUCCUCUUAUUCAAAAUAUAUAUUUGUGCUUGUUGGUUGUGCUAAAUAAUUGAGUGCUCUAUGUUGUUCCCCUACGGGAUAGCAAGUGUUAAAACUUGCACCUUUUUAAAAUAUAACGCCGUAACAAAAAAAACAACAUCACUCAAUAGAUCUAGCCCUUAUCUAAUGCUUUCUCAUCUUAACCAACAGAUGUCUCCCAAACCAGCUACCCGCUCUCAACCAAGUGGUCGUGCAGCUAGUAGGCAAAGCCGAAAUCCAAAUGGAAGUCAAGCCAAUGCAAAUGUUGAUGGUAUUCAUGAAGAUGAAGUGAGUCAGACUAGGAACCAUAAUGAAGGAGAUGACUUGCCAGUAAUUGACUUAGCACAAGUCAUGGCAACUCAGACUCGUCUUCUGGAGACCUUGGCUCAAGGCAUGAACCGCCCUAGGAACAACCAUGGAGUCGGAGUCCAAGACAAGAUAACUGAGUUCAUGAGGCUUAAGCCACCCACCUUUACUGGAUCUGACAACCCCAUGGAAGCAGAUGAUUGGCUUAAGGUGAUUGAAAGAAAGUUGGACACAAUCCACUGCGAUGGAAGGGAUAGAGUUCUGCUAGCAUCUCAUCAGCUGACAGGAAUUGCCCUUUCUUGGUGGGAAGCCUAUAGUGGAGCUGUGGACAAUGCCAACACGAUCACAUGGGAAGAAUUUGUGGACGAAUUCCGCCGGUACCACAUUCCCGAUGGGAUCAUGAAGCUGAGGCUAAUGAAUUUCGUAACCUGAAGCAAGGAAAUAAAACUCUGAGUGAAUACAUCUUUCAAUUCACUGAGUUGUCUCGCUAUGCCCCAGAAUUGGUCAACACUGAUGCCAAGAAACAGACAAAGUUCAUAGAAGGAUUGACCUGUGAGCUCAGAACCCUCAUGACCCCACAGAUCUAUCCAGACUUCAACACUUUGAUGAACAGGACCAUUCUGACUGAUGUGGCCAAGACUGAAGAAAGGAAAGAAAACAAGCGCAAGUUUCUGGAGCGCAAGGUUCAGGAUGGUGCUAGAUCCCAGAGGCUGAAAACCUUUAGCCAACCAAGCCAGCGGACUCAAGCCCCAAUGUAGUUUCGCUCUCCUCCUAGUGUCUCCAAUAACCAAAUGCAGUCAUCAUAUCAGCCUAAGACAACCUAUCAGAAUCAAGCUUAUGGCAAGACUCAACAGAACAGUACUGGUCAAGUCACAAACAAUGUUAGGACUUGCUUUAAUUGCCAUGAGACUGGACACUACAUCACCAACUGUCCCUACAAGAACAACCCACCAGCAGUGUCCACUCAGUCCCACACCGUUAUUGGACCAAGACCUGCAGUGUCUGGAGUCAACCGUGGUUUCCCUCGCAACAAUAGCAACACCAACAAUAAUAGCCAGAUGAUGAAGCAACCUCAACAAUCCUAUGGUAGAGCCCGUGUCAACCAUAUUCAUGCUCAAGAUGCUCAGACUGCUUCAGGAGUGGUACUUGGUGAGUUUUUAGUCGAUUCAGUACUUGCAACAGUAUUAUUUGAUUCUGGAGCAUCACAUUCAUUCAUAUCAUCAAGUUUUGUUGAGAAGCAUCAAAUACCCACAGUACUACUAAAGUUACCCCUAAUAACCCGAACACCUGGGUCUGACAUCAAAUGUCAUCUAGGUUGUUCAAAUGUAAGGAUCAUUCUAAGUGGGGUAGUUUUCUUAGGAGACUUAGUAGUGCUCAAGUCCAAAGGAAUAGAUGUUAUCCUUGGAAUGGAUUGGUUAACCAGACACAAUGGAAUUAUUAGUUGUGCAACCAAGGAAGUAUCAUUAGUUAACCAUGAAGGGAUUAAAGUGAAAUGCCAAACCCGAGGGUCUAAAGUUAAUCCAAUGGACUUCAACUUGGAUGCAAGGACCAUAGAGGAAGUACCAAUAGUGCAAGAAUACCCUGAUGUAUUCCCUGAGGAACUACCUGGAAUGCCACCAGAUAGGGAUAUAGAGUUCAUCAUUGAUCUUAUCCCUGGGACUGCCCCCAUAGCCAAGAGACCUUACAGAAUGGCUCCGGCAGAGUUAGCUGAACUGAAAGAGCAGCUAAGAGAAUUGUAGCAGAAAGGUUAUAUUAGACCUAGUUCUUCACCAUGGGGAGCCCCAGUCUUAUUUGUGAAGAAGAAAGAUGGAAGUAUGAGGAUGUGUGUAGAUUAUAGGUCCCUAAAUGAAGUCACCAUCAAGAAUAAGUAUCCCCUGCCAAGGAUAGAUGACCUUUUUGAUCAGCUUAAAGGAGCCAAGUAUUUCUCUAAGAUUGAUUUGAGAUCAGGUUAUCACCAGCUCAAGAUCAAGAAUAGUGAUGUUCCCAAGACAGCAUUUGUAACCAGAUAUGGACAAUAUGAGUUUACAGUGAUAUCCUUUGGAUUAACCAAUGCCCCUGCCUAUUUCAUGAACCUCAUGAAUAAGGUAUUCAUGGAAGAGUUAGAUAAGUUUGUUGUAGUCUUCAUUGAUGACAUACUUAUCUACUCUAAGAGUGCUAAAGAACAUGGGCAACACUUGAGAGUAGUGUUGGAAAAGCUAAGAGGAUACAAGUUGUAUGCUAAAUUCAGCAAGUGUGAAUUUUGGCUUAAGAAGGUUGCAUUUCUAGGCCACAUCUUGACAGCUGAAGGAGUUGCAGUUGACCCUGAGAAAGUAGAAGCUGUCUCCCAUUGGCAGCAACCCACCAAUGUGAGUGAGGUUAGAAGUUUUCUUAGAUUAGCUGGAUAUUAUCGAAGGUUUAUAGAAGGAUUUUCCAAGAUAGCCAGACCCAUGACAGAGCUUCUUAGGAAGGAUAAGAAAUUCACUUGGACAGAAUCAUGUGAGAAGAGUUUCCAAGAGUUGAAGAAGAGACUAACAACAGCACCAGUGUUAACUUUGCCAGACAUUCACCAAGAUUUCAUCAUAUACUGUGAUGCCUCAAGACAAGGUUUAGGAUGUGUUCUCAUGCAAGGAGGAAAAGUGGUUGCUUAUGCAUCCCGUCAGCUUAGACCUCAUGAGCAAAAUUACCCUACCCAUGAUUUGGAGUUAGCAGCGAUAGUACAUGCUCUCAAGAUUUGGAGACACUACCUCAUUGGAAACAAGUGUGAAAUCUACACUGAUCACAAGAGUUUGAAGUACAUCUUCACACAGUCAGACUUGAACCUAAGGCAAAGAAGAUGGUUGGAGUUAAUCAAGGACUACAACCUUGAGAUUCAUUACCACCCAGGAAAGGCCAACGUGGUAGCAGAUGCCCUGAGCAGAAGGUCAUAUGGUCAGUAGUUGGUGCCUAAGAACACUCACCUACAAGAAGAGAUAGCACAGUUGAACAUGCAUAUAGUACGCCAACCUCAAAAUGGCAGUCUGAUGGUACAGCCAACUCUUGUGGAAGAAAUCAAGCAGACACAACAUAAGGAUAAGGAUCUGAUGAAGAUUCAUGAGCAAACUGGAGAAAAUAAAGCUCCAUACUUUAGAGUGGAUAACAAAGGAGUAUUGUGGUAUAAAAACAGGAUUUGUGUGCCCAAAGAGGGAAAGUUUCAAGAAUUAAUCCUUGAUGAAGCCCAUAACUCAGCUUAUUCUAUCCACCCUGGUGCCACCAAGAUGUACAUGGACCUAAAAGAAAGAUAUUGGUGGAAUGGCAUGAAAGCUGAUGUGGCACGAUUUGUUGCACAAUGUGAUGUAUGCCAAAGGGUUAAAGCAGAGCAUCAGAAACCAGCAGGCUUGCUCCAGCCAUUGCCUAUUCCUGUUUGGAAAUGAGAUGAGAUAGGCAUGGAUUUUGUGAAUGGAUUACCCAAAACUCUGAAAGGAAAUGAUUCAAUAUGGGUAAUAGUGGACCGCCUUACAAAGGUUGCUCACUUCAUACCUGUACGCACCAAAUAUAGUGGAGACAAGUUAGCCCAGCUAUAUGUGGAUAACAUAGUCAAAUUGCAUGGUGUGCCAAGUAGGAUUGUAUCUGACUGAGGUACCCAAUUUACCUCUAAGUUCUGGAAAAGUUUGCAUGAAGCUAUGGGAACCAAGCUAGAUUUUAGUUCAGCUUAUCAUCCUCAAACAGAUGGUCAGACUGAAAGAAUAAAUCAGAUUAUGGAAGAUAUGCUAAGAGCAUGUGUGCUCACAUAUGGUAAAGAUUGGGAGAAAAGCCUAACUUAUGCAGAGUUCUCCUAUAAUAACAGUUACCAAGCUAGUUUGGGCAUGUCACCUUUUGAGGCCCUGUAUGGAAGAAAAUGUAGAACCCCAUUGAUGUGGUCAGAAGUUGGAGAACGAACCUUGCUUGGACCAGCACUUAUAAAAGAAGCAGAAGAUCGUGUAGCUGAAAUCAGAGAAAAAUUGAAAGAGGCACAAUCACGUCAAAAGAGCUAUUCUGAUAAAAGAAGGCGGGAGUUAAGUUUUGCAGUUGGAGAUUUUGUGUAUGUCAAAGUCUCUCCUAUUCGAGGAACUCGAAAGUUCCAAGUCAAAGGCAAGCUAGCACCUCGGUAUAUUGGACCAUAUCAAGUAUUACAGAGGAUUGGAGUUGUAGCCUAUCGUGUUCGGCUACCUGAAGAAAUGUCAGAUAUACACAAUGUGUUUCAUGUCUCCCAAUUGAAGAAAUGUCUCAGAGUACCAGAGGAACAAAUAUCGCCAGACACAGUUGAUUUACAAGACGACCUAAGAUAUCAAGAAGUGCCAAUAAAAAUUCUAGACACAGUCACCAAGCAAACUCGAUCGACAACAGUCCGAAUUUGUCGUGUUCAGUGGAGUAGACACACUGAAGCAAAAGCAACAUGGGAAAGAGAAGAUGCCCUGAGAAAAGAGUUUCCCCAUCUAUUUAGGACCCAGCCGAAUCUCGAGGACGAGAUUCCUUUUAAGUGGGGUAGGUUUGUAACAUCCCAAAAAUUCACAAUCAAAAAUCACUCGCAUUAAAAAUUAUUUUCAAAAUAUAUUUCAAAAACUAUAAAAUAAUUUGAGCUCUAUAGUAUCUCCAUCUAAUCCAUCCAUAUUUUUUCACGCACAAAUAACAGCGAGUACCAGUAAGCUUACAUGCAAGAAAACAUAGCAGUGCACAUACACGAAUAUAUCUCAUGCAUGCAUGCAUGAAUGCAGGACAUCACGCACCGUCCAAUUGCAUGCACCUGCAUGCAAAGACACGGUGAUUAGGCACCGUCCAUUUGCAUGCAUCGUGCAUGCAAAUUAGGCACCGACCAUGCGCUACAGUAGCAUUUUUAAUGGCACGCAGCUGAGCGCUUUGGCCUAUAAAAAGCCAGCCUCGGGUGCUCACUCUCACCACCCGAGAAACACGUUCACUCACUCGCUCUCACUUUGCGUAUACCGUAUACGGCCAUACGUACAAGCCGAGCUCGACUGUCGUCACAAGACGAGGUGAGCAGCUCAUGAACAUCUCCUUGCUCUUCUCUGUCUUUCUGUAGUAUUUUUCUGUAUUUUUUCCUUGUAUUUGUCUGUACCGAUUCACUGCCAAGAACUCCACGAAUAGAACCAUGACAUACAGAAGAGCUCUAAUGACCCGUGCUAAUUUCUCUCUAACCAUGCAUGUGUGGGCCAUAAGCAUUAACUUCACCAAAUAGUACAUGCAUGCAUGCACUACCAGCCAAACAAAUACCCACGUGAAGCAUCCAUUCCUUAAUCAUCGUUAGCCUUUUUCGUAUGAUUAAAUUCCGGCUAUUUCACAAAUGCCACAUGCUAACUCUGAUUUUAAUAAUUCUUUUUCCUAAAUUUAUCUAAAAUCAUGAUCUACCUCCCAUAUUAAUUUCAUGAUUUUUGGAGCUCAUUUGAAUUUAUAUGAUUAUUUAUCUGUGCCUGUUGUCUGUGUCGGUCGUCGCGUAUUUUAGCUGACGAAGUGAACGAGCCCGAAAACGAGAACGUUGGAGACGAGUACCGCGAGUUUGACGCCGAGGACCCAGACUGUCAGCAAGAGUUUGCUGAGGACGCCGACGGAGGCAAGUCCAACUGAUCCCCUUUGAUGCAUAUUGAUCCUAUUUUUAAAUACAACCCGUAGAAGCCGUUUUAAAUAUUGCAUGUACGAUAUAUAUACGAAGUAUUUUUGCUGCUUAGUUAAAACCUGUUGAAUAGCCAUCCUUGAAUUGAUAUUACCCGGUAAUUGUCUUGUUCGAACCUAGGAACCAAUAAUAUGCUAUGACAGAAAUAUUAUUAUUUAGUAUGCUUAGGACUUGUUACUCAUCCUGGAUACUCAUCGCUAUAUUUUCUCAAAUAUAAUGAUUUUAAAAGUAAAAGGUGUGAGUGGUGAAAAUAUAUUGUGGGUAUUAUGAAAGGGUUAAUGAACAAGUUAUAGAUGUGAUUACUAUGGAGAUGGGGCGGAUGGGAUCUCUUUGGGGAUGCCCUGGUGUUGUGGCUUAUACCUUGCGGGGUUAAGCGUGAAGAUAUCCGCCUUGUCUCGAUUAAGGACUGAGUUGAUGAUUCAUCUUGCCUAACUCAUUUAUCGUACAACCACUCGCCUUGCAUGGGAAAGGCUUAGUCUAAAUCCCUCUAGUUAGUAUGGCAAUCACCUGGAGGCAGGUGUGCAACGGGACACUAAGUGAUGUAUGUGAAAUUGUGAAAAUAUAUGAAAAGAGCUUUGUGAAUUAUUGUGGUAUCAUGAGAUGUGGCCUUAGUGUUCCCGUGGUGAGCGCCAUUACUUAGCUAUGGAGGGUAAUGACUUUGAUGGAUCUGUGAUUGCACGACGGUGUAAGUUAUGGUAUCCUACUUGUAGGAAAAGUGUACAACCUCUGCAGAGUGUAAAUCUAUCUAGAUAGCCGUGUCCGCGGUCUCGGACGGGUUAUGGUUUGGUUUCAACAACUAGAUUGGUUGGUAUGAGUGAAAGCAUGUGAGAGAGUGUGAUUUUGGAAAUAAAUGGUUGACUGCCAUUGUGUUGUGGGAACAAGGGUUCAACAACACUUAAAAUUGUGAUCAAACCCCCAUUUUCAGAAAUACUAUCAUAUGUGGAAGAAGAGUUCUUUUACAACAGUAUUUGUGAAUUAAAACCUUGCAUGUGUAAAAAGAUAGCUUUAUGCAAAUAAAACUAAGCCUCAUCCUUGAUUUAUCCAUAUGCAUAUAUAUUGUUACCCCUUCCGUAGGGUAAGGUUGGAUUUGCUGAGUACUUUGUACUCACCCUUGCUUUAUUAAACAGAGGAAGAUCCGGACUUCGAUCCCGAAGUGGCGUUCGAGUAAGGUCGUGUCUGCACCCAACUAAGCCUGUGGCAUUGGGACUCGUCAGAUGUUCGAUUGUGAUAUCGUUUGUUUCUGGGUCCUUUGGACCUAUGUUGUAUUUUGGUGUCUUAUUAUUAUAGCGUGUCUUCCUUGUCCACGCUUACCGAGACUUCUGCGCUGAAACUUAUCUGAUGUAAUAAAUGUGUUACUAGCCUCCUGGGACUAGUAUUAUAUCACAUUUGAGUUCCUGGUUUACCAGGGGCGCUUCAUCAUGGGAGUGGAAUAGAAUAAUUAGGUUGAUUAAGAGUGCAAGCACUAUUUGCUCCUUGUAAGAUUAUUGUGUUUCUCCUUUGUCUAUCCAAACACCUAGGUACGGAAUAUUCCUAGGUUUUUUUAUUUCUCUAUUUCCUGCUUUGCAUUCCAAAUAUUUUUCAUAUGUUUUCUUGUGUUUUAUCAUUCCUGUAUUCCAAAGGAGGUCUAAAUGUCAUUAAAAAUGUUACCCAUUCGGUUCCGAGCUCCUAACCCUUCCCUCCUCUUGUUCUCACGCCAUCUAGUUUUGCACCUCCCAAUCCAGAAACCACGUGGUUUCUAUGUUCAUUUAUUAAGAUGGCAAAUAAAAAAAAAGAUGAUGUGACACUAUAAUUAAAGAAGAGAAAGGAGAAAAUAUUUUUUCUAAUAAUAAACCAUAUCUAUGAGGCAGUCAAGAUAUGAAGAGAUGUGAUAGGUAGAUGAGUGAGAGAAAAGACAUGUAAUAAUUGGACAAAGAUGGUUCUGUAGAAAUGAUCUAUGUGUAGUGUCUACUCCCACUUAUCUCUAUUUAUGUGUCGUGAUGGCUAUAUUUCUAGGUGUCUAGAUUCAAAGCAUCCUGAUGUAUAUAGACAUCACAUAUAUCUAAAUUCAGAGAAUCUUUAGGUAUCUAAUAAAAAAUCAAAACGAUAGAUAUAGUGGUACGAAGGGAAUACACAAAUUAAAUAGACAUUAAAACUAUACAUGGUUUCUAGACUGAAAGAGUCUCUUCUUUCUCUUACAAUAGUGUCCUGGAAUUGUCGAUUGAUGAAUCAGGGCUUUAUGGCAACGGCUUUAAUAUAAACUGCUCCAAUUUAGCUCCAAUAGUGCCACGUUUCAUCUACACACUACCGGCAGUAAUGUGGCCUCAAUCAUGAAUGCUUCAUCUACAAACUACUGCUGGUGGGGCUAGAGUGCACAGCAGAUUCAGCCUAGUUUUUUAUACUCACGGGUCAACAGACCCAGGUCUAGGUUGACUAGAACCUAUUUGGUUCACGUUGGUAAAUUUUAUCGUUUAUCUUAUCGAAUAUUUGAACAUAUAUAUAAAGUAUUAAAUAUAAACUAUUUACAACUAAAAAUAUAGCUAGAGAAUAAUUUUCGAGAUGAAUUUUUUAAGUCUAAUUAAUCCAUAAUUGAAUACUAAUUGUCAAAUAAAACGAAAAUGUUACAGCACACCCCCUAAAGACCACAAGCAAAUCAAGCCCUUAAGACUAGCUACCUGAAUUGAGAGGUGAGGAUUGUUCCGCCAUCAUCAAUUUCCAAUGUACUACCUAACAUCUUGAUAUUUCCCUCCUAAAUUUCUUCCCAGUGCACUAAACAGAGUCUUCUUUCUUCCUUGGUAGUGGACUGGUGGAAGCGCGGGAGGAUGAAACGUCCAAGAUCGGAUCCACGCGUGCCACCAAAGUGUGGACUCUUUUUUUUAUUCUUUGCGACGACCAAACUGUGGACUCGUUCAACCCUGAUAAUUGAACAUCCGUCCUUUUAAGACCUACCAGCAGGCAGCGGCAUUUUCAUUAGCACAUUGAGCGCCCUCUCUCCUCGGCUGAGGUCUGAGGACUUGGGAGUUCCCCAAAAUCACAACUAGCUCUAGCUCGAAGCCAUGUUUUGUCGUCACCAAAACUACCUUAUCAUCCUUGCUAUUAUCUUGACUUCCAUAUGUCGUGUAGCGUGCCUGUGCCACCAAGAUCAAAGCGCCGCGCUGCUGCGCCUCAAAAGCGGCUUCCGCUUGAACUUGAAUCCAGCAUUCUCAAAUCUUUCGUCCUGGGAAGCAAGCACUGGCUGCUGUACAUGGGAACGAAUCAGAUGCGAAGAUGAGACGGGCCGAGUCACUGCUCUCGACCUCUCUAAUCUCUACAUGUCGGGUAAUAUCAGUUCUGAUAUCUUUAUUAAUCUUACCUCGCUUCAUUUCCUUAGCCUUGCCAACAACAACUUCCAUGGAAGUCCAUGGCCAAGCCCAGGACUUGACAACCUCAAAGACCUCAAGUACCUUAACCUCUCUUAUUCUGGGCUGUCCGGCUACUUACCUGUUAUGAACGGCCAAUUUGCCAAAUUGGUCACUUUAGACCUGUCUGGCCUUGAUUUACAAAGCUUGACCCUUGAUACUUUGAUUGACAGCCUUGGCAGUCUCCAAAAGCUAUACCUUGAUCGUGUCAACAUUUCGGUAGGUUCAACCAAUUUGGCUCAUGCUUCCUCUGCCAAUAAAACGUCAGGCCUCCAAGAGCUAAGCAUGCAACGGUGCAUAGUUACUGGUCGAGUUGAUACUGUGCUUGAAUUUCUUUCUGAGCUCUCAUCCUUGGUAGUUCUUCGGCUUCAACUUAGUACACUGACUGGAACCUUCCCCUCAAAGAUACUUCGUAUCAAAAGUUUGACAGUUCUAGAUCUAUCAUGGAAUGAGAAUCUAUAUGGAGAGCUGCCAGAGUUCAUACAGGGCAGCGCUUUGCAGUUUUUAAAUCUCGCUUACACCAAAUUUUCUGGAAAAAUUCCAGAAUCUAUCGGGAACCUCGCAAAUCUAACUGUAUUGGACUUGUCUUAUUGUCAAUUCCAUGGGCCCAUCCCGUCCUUCGCUCAAUGGUUAAAGAUUGAGGAGAUCAAUUUGUCAAGUAACAAAUUAACAGGUCAAUUACACCCAGACAACCUUGCUUUACGCAACCUGACCACACUUUAUCUUAUGAAUAAUUCUAUAUCCGGUGAGAUACCUGCAUCUUUGUUUUCUCAGCCUUCUUUGAAGUAUUUAGAUCUCUCACAAAAUAAUUUCACCGGAAAGUUUCGGCUGUAUCCUCAUAUAUCUUCUAGUUUGACACAGAUUAUUAUUAGCAACAAUAUACUGCAAGGACCAAUCCCAAACUCAUUGUCGAAGCUUCUAGGACUAGAAACAUUGGACAUUUCAUCAAACAAUCUCACUGGUACUGUAGAUCUAAGUUUCAUUAAGAAUUAUGAGAAGAUUGGAUAUCUGUCACUAUCCAAUAACAGGUUGUCUAUUGUGGAGAAAGAUGACAGUCACUCAUUCGCAGAAUAUCCAACAAGUAUUUGGUCUUUGGAGUUGGCAUCAUGUAAUCUGUCAUAUGUACCUAAAUUCCUGAUGCACCAGAGAAAUGUUUACUAUUUAGACCUUUCAAACAACAAUAUUGGUGGACACAUACCGGAUUGGAUAUGGGGAAUUGGACCAUCUUAUGGCUUGAGCAUUGAUCUCUCUCAUAACUUAAUUACCAGCAUUGAUACAAAUUUAUCGAAUAGAUCAAUCCGUAAUCUGGAUCUCCAUUCCAACAAGAUUGGGGGAGAUCUCCCACUACCCCCACCAGGAAUUGACCAAUUGGACUACUCCAACAACCAUUUUAAUUCUUCUAUCAUGCCCAAGUUUUGGUCAAGUGUUAAGUCUGCUGAAUUCCUGUCAUUAGCAAACAAUAGCCUUACUGGAGAACUAUCACAUUUGAUCUGUAAUGUAACAUACAUCCAAGUUCUAGACCUUUCUUUUAACAGCUUCAGUGGGUUAAUACCACCUUGUUUGCUGAAACAUAACAAGUAUCUUGAGAUACUGAACUUGAGAGGUAACAAUUUCCAUGGAUCCUUGCCUCAGGAUAUCAACAAGGGAUGUGCACUUCAAAAAUUAGAUAUCAACAGCAACAAAUUGGAGGGGAAAUUGCCAGUGUCUAUGAUCAACUGCCACAUGCUACAAGUUCUGGACCUUGGAGACAACAGGAUAGUCGAUGAGUUUCCAGAGUGGCUGGGAGUACUUCCUUUGUUGAAAGUGCUUGUUCUGAGCUCAAACCGGUUUCAUGGUCCCAUUGAUCACUAUGGGAUGAACAAACAGACAGGUCCCUCUUUCCCAGAGUUGCAGGUUCUGGAUCUUUCUUCAAAUUCUCUUAAUGGCAGAAUACCAACACGAUUCCUUAAGCAGUUCAAAGCUAUGAUGGUUUCUUCAGGAGCUCCCAGCAUGUACGUUGGAAUUAUUGAAACUUCAGCAUCACCUCCAAUUACAAGUCCCAUGCCAUACUAUUACUACGAUAACUCAGUCACAGUCACACUCAAGGGGCAAGAAACAACUCUGGUACAGAUACUUUCAGUCUUCAUGUCCCUCGAUCUCUCCAACAACAACUUCCAGGGUAUCAUCCCCAACGAGAUCGGCGACCUGAAGUUUCUCAAGGGGCUCAACCUCUCCAGGAACUCCUUCACCGGCGGGAUCCCUCCCCAGAUCGCUAACAUGCGGCAGCUGGAGUCACUUGAUCUCUCCAGCAACCAGCUCUCCGGGGAGAUCCCUCCAGCAAUGGCACUGAUGUCAUUCCUCGAGGUGCUCAACCUUUCCUACAAUCAUCUGUCCGGGAUGAUACCACAGUCCAGCCAGUUCUUGACGUUCCCAGAGACGUCAUUUCUGGGAAACGACGGGCUGUGCGGGAAGCCGCUGCCACGCCUGUGUGACACGAACCACACACCAUCUGCUGCUGCUACACCGGGCUCUUCUAACAAGCUGAACUGGGAAUUUUUGUCGAUUGAGGCAGGGGUUGUUUCUGGCUUGGUCAUCGUGUUUGCGACCACGCUGCUGUGGGGCAACGGGAGGAGGUGGCUAUACUGGCAGGUGGACAAAUUUCUGCUAGAUGUUCUGCAGCCAUGGAUCCGCAGCCGUCGCCACUGAAAUGAAUUUUUAGUGUUUGCAUACUUCAAUGAUAUGUGCAAGAAAAUGAGCAGGCAUCACGCCAUGUUCCUGUUCAACAGCAUUAUUAUGUAUAUUUCAAGCUUGGGAAAUAAAUUUACAUGGUGCUUUCGCAUAGUUAGAUGCUAUAUUUUUGCAAGAGAAAAACUUAGUUGAGGAUCUCAUCUGGAAUUUCAUACCUACUACUAUACUGUGUACAGCUUAUUCGAUAUGAUUAAGAUAUGAAACUCUGCUUUGCCAGGAAAAAGAAUGACGACAGAAAAAAAAAGUACUGAAAAGUUAACAAAACUUUUACUUUUCUUAUAUAUAUACUAAAGAACAUGGUUAAUACCAGUUAAAUGUAAGGUUAACCAAAGCUACAUGGACAAGUCUAUGACAAUUGACAAAGUAUGAACUAACAGCGAUAAUACCUCUGCAUGUCUAAAUUGUAUCGGAACAUAUGCAUUCAGUCUCCUGUUUCCAGGUUAGUAACCAGUGUGUCAUGUAACAACCACAAUAAAACACGAGCAAUUAGUGAUUGCUAAGCACAUAGAUAUUGUACAAAGACAAGAAUUAUGAUUCAUCCUAUGUUUAUAAUAUUAUAGUAAUCAAGGUCAAAUCCAGGAGCAAGUAACUACCAGCAGCGACACACCGCGUCGUUCCAGAAGAGCCAGUGGUGGUGGCGCCGUGGCGGUCUGGCGGAGGCGGGUGCGGAACGAAAGGACCUUGCUUCGGCUGGGCGGCCGGCUGGGGUUGACGGCGGACGCGCGGAGCGUGACGAGGCCAUAACUGUGCGCCGCCGCUUAGGCGCGCUUGUUCCGCGCGGAUGCUGCCAGCACGCCGCGGAAGGACCCACCGCCCACCCAGCCCGCCGGCGUCCUCGUCGGCGAAGGUGACUAUCACGUGGCUGAGGCGGGGAUCCGAGACGAAGGGAAGAGGAGGAGGCGGAGAAUCACGAUACAGGAGAUCCGGGUGAAUGAGCUCGAACCUCGAAUGAAAC
rnacentral:lncRNA from 1 species